AACGAACGCUGGCGGCAUGCCUAAUACAUGCAAGUCGAACGAGAUCUUCGGAUCUAGUGGCGCACGGGUGCGUAACGCGUGGGAAUCUACCCUUGGGUUCGGAAUAACAGUUAGAAAUGACUGCUAAUACCGGAUGAUGACGUAAGUCCAAAGAUUUAUCGCCCAAGGAUGAGCCCGCGUAGGAUUAGCUAGUUGGUGGGGUAAAGGCCUGCCAAGGCUACGAUCCUUAGCUGGUCUGAGAGGAUGAUCAGCCACACUGGGACUGAGACACGGCCCAGACUCCUACGGGAGGCAGCAGUAGGGAAUAUUGGACAAUGGGGGAAACCCUGAUCCAGCAAUGCCGCGUGAGCGAUGAAGGCCUUAGGGUUGUAAAGCUCUUUUACCCGGGAUGAUAAUGACAAUACCGGGAGAAUAAGCCCCGGCUAACUCCGUGCCAGCAGCCGCCGUAA
rnacentral:rRNA from 1 species